AAUGAGGUAGCUCAGUCAGUAGAGCAUGGGACUCUUAAACUCAUGGUCGUGGGUUCUAGUCCCACUGUCAGGUG